GAAAGGGAGAAAGAGAAAGAGACAGGGUUUCUUGUGAUUUCCUCCCUUAUACGUUCAGGUUCCUCAUCUAGCCAAUGAUCAUAGGAAAAUAUAGGAGAAGUACCUUGCUACGUGUAUCAGAAGGUUUUUCAUUGUGUUUUGCUUUACUAUGGAUCCCAAACAAGGAAAUCAAUAAGGAGUCUGGUCAAUCUAGCAAUUUGGGUCCUAAGAAACCUUCUUUCAAGAAUGAGGGUGGUCAUUGCUUCUUUUGUAAGAAAAAAUGGUCAUAUGAAGAAGGAUGCAGGGAUUCGUAAACCGGAGGAAGCCAAGUAAGGAGGAAUCAAAGCUCACUGUGGGGAACAAUGAACAAGCUGAUGUAGAAUUCAUGGGAGAUGUCAUUUUAAUUCUAGACUCUGUUUUUAAAUUGAUGUUAAGAAACACUUUUUAUAUACCGUACUUUAGGUGGAAUUUAAUUUCUGUUUUAGUUUUAGACUUGUGUGGUUACCAUUUUGAAAUAAAGAACGCUAUGGUUAAUUUGUUCUUCAA